rnacentral:tRNA from 1 species
CUGUGGUCUGCAGCGCGGUCUUCAGAGUCAGUCGCGGGUCACCGAAGGGAAACGGGGGGUUGGUUUGAACCCCGU